GACGAACGCUGGCGGCGUGCUUAACACAUGCAAGUCGAACGGGCCUGUCUUCUUUUUUGGGGGGUGGGUUGAGUGGCGAACGGGUGAGUAUCACGUGAGUAACCUGCCCUUCGGUCCUGGAUAACCGCUUGAAAGGGCGGCUAAUACGGGGUGGUCCGGUUGGUCCGCAUGGGCUGGUCGGGAUAGAUUCACUGUUUUUGGUGUUUCGGCGGGGGAUGGGCUCGCGGCCUAUCAGCUUGUUGGUGGGGUGAUGGCCUACCAAGGCGGUGACGGGUAGCCGGGCUGAGAGGGGGGGCGGCCACACUUGGAAUGAGGUACGGCCCAGACUCCUGCGGGAGGCAGCAGUGGGGGGUAUUGCAAAAUGGGCGGAAGCCUGAUGCAGCGACGUCGCGUGAGGGAUGGAGGCCUUCGGGUUGUGAACCUCUGUUUCCGGUGGUGAAGGCCCUGUCCGUGUGGUGGGGUUGACGGUAGCCGGGGAUGAAGCGCCGGCUAACUACGUG
rnacentral:rRNA from 1 species